rnacentral:rRNA from 1 species
GAUGAACGCUGGCGGCGUGCCUAAUACAUGCAAGUCGAGCGAACAGACGAGGAGCUUGCUCCUCUGCCGUUAGCGGCGGACGGGUGAGUAACACGUGGAUAACCUACCUAUAAGACUGGGGUAACUUCGGGGAACCGGAUCCAAUACCGGAUCACAUGGUGAACCGGAGGGAUCAACAGAGCACGCGGGAUUUGCUGUCACUAAUAGAUGGAUCCGCGUCGGAUUAGCUAGUUGGUAAGGUAACGGCUUACCAAGGCGACGAUGCGUAGCCGAUCUGAGAGGAUGAUCAGCCACACUGGAACUGAGACACGGUCCAGACUCCUACGGGAGGCAGCAGUAGGGAAUAUUCGACAAUGGGCGAAAGCCUGACGCAGCCAUGCCGCGUGAGUGAAGAAGGUCUUCGGAUCGUAAAGCUCUGUUAUUAGGGAAGAACAGAUGUAUGAUUAACUAUGCAUGUUUUGACGGUACCUAAAGAGAAAGCCCCGGCUAACUUCGUG